CAUGUUCAGAUACGAGUGGGUGGCGCCUUAGGGGUACCCCAGGAGGUUGACUUAGCAGGUGAUCGUCUGUCCAGAAGUUCGGGGGCAGUCACAGGCUUCCGAAGAGCUGAGUGUGCCAAGAGCCCGAGUGACAGGAGAAAUUCCACAUGGAGGUGAUAUCAUGAUAUCUGUCUCGUCUGACUGACUUCACUAUGAGCAGGUCCAUCCAUGUUGCUGCAAAUGGCACUGCUUCAUUCUUUUUAAGGCCGAGUAAUAUUCCAUUGUGCACACGCACUGAGUCUUCUGAAACCAGUCAUCUGUCGAUGGGCAGAAAGGAGUCUCGGCAAACCACUCAUGACCUCACCUCCCACCAGAUCCAUUUGGAUGUGGAUUUCUUUGAAGGAGCCUGGUCUUCACCUGCUCCCAAGAUGAGAAAAGCAACUCCCGUAGUGUCUAACGGGAUUCCCAGACCAGACCUGUGAGCCCGCCUGGCAAGCGUGCGGACAGGAGGGUGCGGACAACGAGGCGGGCUUCCCCAGAGGGUCGAGGUGCAGGG